rnacentral:rRNA from 1 species
AAAAAGACUCUCGACAACGGAUAUCUAGGCUCUCGCAUCGAUGAAGAACGUAGCAAAAUGCGAUACUUGGUGUGAAUUGCAGAAUCCCGUGAACCAUCGAGUUUUUGAACGCAAGUUGCGCCCGAAGCCAUUAGGCUGAGGGCACGUCUGCCUGGGCGUCUC